rnacentral:rRNA from 1 species
CAAUAGCGUAUAUUAAAGUUGUUGCAGUUAAAAAGCUCGUAGUUGAAUUUCUGGUGGGCGCGCCGGUCUUCCAAGUGUUGUACUGGGCGCAGUCCGCCAUCCUUGUGGAGAGGGCUCGCAUUGAGUUGCGUGUCGGAUCUGCAUCAUUUACUGUGAAAAAAUUAGAGUGUUUAAAGCAGGCCGUCGCUUGAAUACAUUAGCAUGGAAUAAUAAGAUAGGACUUCGGUCUAUUUUGUUGGUUGCGAACCGAGGUAAUGAUUAAUAGGGAUAGUUGGGGGUAUUCAUAUUUAAUUGUCAGAGGUGAAAUUCUUGGAUUUAUGAAAGAUGAACAACUGCGAAAGCAUUUACCAAGGAUGUUUUCAUUAA